rnacentral:lncRNA from 1 species
UAAUAAAUCAUAAUACCAAUAUGCAUAAUAAUUGUAAUACCCAAUUUUGCCCAGCCCAUAUACAAAUAAUAAAACCAAAAAACAAAUUUAAACCAAAACCAAAAUAAAUAAAAUAGGCCCAAAUUACCAAGCCCAAUAACCUAAAAAACUAACCCUAGCCCAACACAAAAUUAAAUCAAGAAAAACCUAAGCAGAAAAACUAGCAGCAGCCACCCUCAACAGCAGCCACCCUCGUCGCCGGCCCUUGCGCGCCUUCCUCGUACGUGCUCCCACGAUCACCUGCAAAACGGAUUCAAAGAGUCCAAACAAUGUAAAACAACGGGAAAAAGGGAAAUAAGUUGUUCUCGGGCUAUAAAACGGCCAAUAUUGUUUGUAAAAUGGGGGGGAGACCAAGGUUGUAUUGAGAGAAGAUUGGAAAUACAAAGGAAAGGAAAAACAGAUUCAAAAUUUUUGAAUAACAGAGGUUUUUGUUAUUUUUUAGUUUGUUUUGUGGAUGUUUGAUUUAUUUAUUUAUACAUUUAGUUUUCAUUUUUAUUCUUUUAUUUUUAACAAUAAUAUAAAAGAGGAGAGGGGUAAUACCUUCGAGGAUUCGCCGUCAAAACUGCGUUCGCAUCGCUCAAAUCGGAGCUUGACGGAGCCCCGGGAAUUGACUCGCCGGAGAACGGCGGCGUUGAGAGCUGGGGCUGAAAAAACCUAGCAGAGGGUUUUUAUUUUUAUUUUUUAUUUUUUUCUUCCUUCUUACUGCUGAAAACAUUUGUUUUUUUUCAAAAAAAUUUGUUUUAAAGCAUAUAAGCAAAACGGGGCCGUUUUAAAUGGCCAGACCCGCGCGGUGACCCGACCCGGAGGGGAGGAUCCGCGCGUUCUGGCUUUUAAUGGUAGAAUUGCGCAUUUAGCCCCUGCUUUUUGUGAUGCGUUUCAAUUAAACUCAUUUUGUUUUUUUUAAAUUAGCCACGAAUUUCAUUUCUAUUUCAAUUUGGUCCCUCGCUGCGCAGCGUUUUGGAAGGUGGGAAUAAUUUCCCUUUUGGUCCUCCAUUAUUGCUUGCGCAUUCAAGUUGGUCAUUUUUAAUUUAUUUCAAAUCUGCCCCCACUUUUUUCCGUUUUAGUUCAAUUGAGUCCAUUUUUUUCCAGCUAUUUUUAUAAUAUUUUUUAUUAUCAUUAUUAUACCUAUCUAUGUACACGCACAUGCGUUUUUUUAUCAUAUUUAUGUAUAUACUGUAUAUAUAUUUAAAUGUCUUAUAUGCAUAUGUUAUAUACGUAAUUAUUAUUAUUUUAUAACAUUCAUGCAUUGUUUUUUUUAUAAUACAUAUACAUACGCAUGGCUUUUAUAUAAUAUAUAUAUGCACUUUUUUUUAAAGUAUAUAAUACCUCUAUAUAUUUUAUACAUUUAUUUUAUUUUAUUUUAUUUUCUUACUUUUACAUAUAUAAAUAAAAUCUUUAUAUUUUAUUUUACUUUAUUUUUAUAAAUAUUUAUGUACAUAUGUUUUUUAUUUUUAUUUUGUUUUUUUACGAUAUACUUAUACUUUUCUUUGUAAAUAUCUAUACAUAUAUGUUUGAAAUUAGGGUAUCCGUUUCAUGUUAUACCUUAACCCUUUUUAGCCUCCCUUUUAAAAAUAUAUAUUUUGCUUUUCCCAAAGUAUUUAAAUCAUCCUAUUUUAUAAAUUCCAAAAUAUUUGGCAUUCAUGAUUCUCGUGAAAGAUCGUGUCCUAACUUACUGGAUUGCGAUUAUUUCUCGAUGGAUUUAGAAAGCCAAGUAUUUGUUUUGCAAUAAAUUCACAAAUUUCAAAUGAAGCUUAUUCUCGGGGAUUCAAAAAUGUUGGGUCCUAACUUACUGGUCCUGAUAUUUUGACUGCUCGAAAUAGGAAUUUUCAAAAGCAAAAGGCAAUAUUCAGGUAUUUUGAGGAUUUAAAAACAUUGUGCCCUAACUCACUGGGUGUGGUGUUUUAUUUCUUUGAAAUAAGAAUGUCUUGUUAUUUUGAUUCAUUCAUGAAAUAAAAAACUUUCCUUUUAAAAUCUUUUCAAAUUUUCGACACCAAGGCAUUAAAAAAUCAAUUUGGUACCAAUUUUGGGCGUUACGAGGGUGCUAAUCCUUCCUCGUACGUAACUGACUCCCGAACCUAUUUUCUCAAAUUUCGCAGACCAAAAUUAUUUUUAAGGUGGGCCGAUCACACCUUAAUAAAGGAUCGGUGGCGACUCCAUUUUUUUUAAAGUCGACAACUAAAUUUUUUAUUUUCAAAAAAGCGGUUUCGACAGCUUGGUGACUCCGCUGGGGACGUUAGAGAGUCGAGCCAUAAAUUGAUUAUGUUUUGUCUUUUUGUCGAAAAUCAAAAGUUUUUUAAUCAUGAUUUCCUUUCGCAUUUAUUCAUUUUCACCAUGAUAUGUUUGCAUGAUUGGACCAAGUCAGUUGAUCUGUAUUUGCAUUUUGCAUUACAUGGUCAGUUUUACCCAUUAAGUGAGAGCGAGAAACUAGUCCUUCGCGAGGUUUUCACCUCCGUGCAGGAUAGUGGACCGCUUCCGGGAUACAUCCGUACCUAUGUCUUGGUGAGAUUUUCUUCUCCGUGCAGCCAUGGGGAAAUGUAUUCUCCUGAACUGAACUCGGUCCAUAUGAGCCUACAAUGGGUGAGGAUCGAGGAAUCUGCUGGUUCGGGUACCCUUACUCUAGAAACUAAACCUCAUAUAGUGAGCUUUAGGAACUUACCCUAGGUAGAGCUAUACCAAACCCUAGUGGAUUCCUAAAUAAAUGUUCUUGCUAUUUCAUGUUUGUAUUGGAUUAUAUCUUUUUGGUGUGAUAUUGACUUGGGUUUAUUUUGUUUUGAUUGCAUGACAUCAUGAUUGCAUUGCAUUUGCAUAUUAGAAAAUAGAUGUUGAUUUGAGUUCGAUUACUAGAUUAGAAAGCUUGUUAUGAAAUACGGGUUUCUUGAUAAGGUGGUAGAUAAUACGGUGGUUCGAAGAAAACAUGUCACGAAAACCUAACAAGAGGAGUAUACGACUUUGCUGCAUGACCUAAGGAUCCAAAUUGUCAAAGUCUAUUCAAAAGUCAUCAAAGGUCCCAAUCUUUUAAAGAAGCUAAUGAACGUGAGUGAGCAAGGAGUUGCGACCUAGAUUGAACAAAAAGGAGCUCAAAUUCGCGAAAUGCAUCUUAAUAUCCGAAUGGUCGAUGUCUUCGCUUGGAGUACGAGGGGGAAGCCGUAUAUAUAUAUCCACUUUAUGUAAAGAGAUUUGUUUUCUAGUGAAGAUUUCUAGUAAAGAAUUGAACAUGAAUCAAAGUCUCUUUUCGCAUUCAUUUCAUGCAUUUGCAUUACAUUGCAUCAUAUGCAUUAAAAACCUUUAAUUGAUCCUAAUUAACUAAAAUCAUUACUCCGUUAACCUGGAAACCAAUCAACCAACUCAACACCGAUACGGCACUCAAGCAAAGACGAAAGAUAUGGAUCAGAGAUUGGAAAAACUGGAACAAUGUCAAAAGAAGAUGCAGGACCGACUUCAGCUACAGGUGCAGGAGCGGUUAGACAGGAUGAAACAAGAGAUGUUUGAGAAGAUGCGAGAAUCCCAAGAAGAUAUAGUGGCAAAGUUAACCCAACUGAUAACUAAGGGAAGUGAUAAAGGAAAGGGCCCCAUGGCAAAUGUCGAUGAGGGAAAUGAUGAUGAACCUCUCUAUCCUCCAAGUUUCACCCCUCCACAUGUGCUAACUCAAGCUGAAUACCCAUGCAAAUCUAUUGUCACCAUCAUGCCGCAGCAGUUUCAGGCUGGUGUUUCGAACUUCCAGGCUGGACCGGGUUCUAAUCUCGAAAAUAACCCUGUUAACUCUGUCAUUCCUGACUUUGAUGAAGUGGUUGAGAAGGAAAGAAUGAAGGAGGAGCUACCGAAACAGUUAGAGGAAAGGUGUAGGUGGCUCGAGGAGAAGUUCAAGGCGAUGGAGGUCACUGAAAGUUAUCGAGGCAUUGAUGCAAAAGAGCUGAGUUUAGUGUCGGAUUUGGUACUCCCUCAUAAAUUUAAGAUGCCAGAAUUCGAGAAAUACAAUGGGACAACUUGCCCAGAGGCCAUAUCACCAUGUUCUGUAGACGAAUGGCAGGAUAUGUUAACAAUGACCAGCUCUUGAUACAUUGUUUCCAAGACAGUCUUGCAGGGGCAGCAUCCAAAUGGUACAAUCGGUUGAGUUGUGCCACGAUUGGUUCAUAGAGGGACUUGGCGCAAGCAUUCAUGAAACAAUAUAGUCAUGUGACAGACAUGGCUCCUGAUAGAAUCACCCUUCAAAAUAUGGAGAAGAAGCCGAACGAAAGUUUCAGGCAGUAUGCACAAAGGUGGAGGGAGGUCGCAGUCCAAGUUCAGCCACCGCUCUUGGAGAAAGAGAUGACCAUGCUAUUCAUUAACACGCUGAAAGCACCGUUCAUUACACAUAUGUUAGGGAGUGCCACAAAAAGCUUCCCUGACAUAGUCAUGAAUGGCGAAAUGAUCGAAAAUGCUAUAAGAAGUGGGAAAAUCGAUGCAGAAGAGAGUAACAAGUGGUCAACCUCAAGGAGAAGAGAAACUGAGGUGAACAACACAGGUUACUCUAAAUCAGUUACUGUAAGUCAUCCAGGAAAGGGGGUUGCUAGUCAACAAAGUUCAUUGAGACAGGAAUCUGGAGUGAAACCAGAUACUGAGAAGCUCCAGUUCACGCCAAUUCCGAUGUCGUAUAAGGAGCUGUACCAAAGCUUAUUCGAUGCACACGUUAUUUCUCCUUCCUACUUAAAACCCCCACAACCUCCGUAUCCCAAGUGGUAUGAUGCGAACGCACAAUGUGACUACCAUGCGGGAAUUACAGGGCACUCAAUCGAGAAUUGCAUUACCUUUAAAAAGCUAGUUGAAAAACUCAUUAACAUGGGUGUUGUCAAGCUUGGUGACUCGUCUAGCGCAGGAAAUCCGCUACCCAAUCAUGGUUGAGGAUGGAAGGACUGCAAUGUAUGAAGAAGUGGUGAGAAAUUUGCACCUCGAUGCCAUAUAUGCGGACACAGUUAAAAGGGUCCUUGUUAGAUAUUGGCCUUAGAGGUGUUCUAAAUAAUGGGACUGCAGAGGAAACCCCUAAAGUAUUUAGAGUCUGUUAGUGUAAUGUUCAGAACACACUUGUUGCUUUCAGCCUAAAAGCAAUAAGGAUUUCUUUGUGAAAUAGGCUCACGUCUGAACAUUAUUAUUUUAAUGAAAUACAUUAUUGCAAUCAUCUUUGAGCAAAUGUUCUUUCAUUCUUUACAUUUUUUUCAUUCUUUUGGACUUUUUCUGCCAAGCCAUUCAUUCAUUCAUAUUAUUCAUACAUUUUUUUGUACAUUCUUUGGUACCCACUAUGGGUCCCCAAAUAUCAAUGACAUGAGUGACGCUGCUUCAGACUCAAAAUUGCCUUUUGAGUGAGACUUGUGUUUAGAGGGAUCUCAUGACUUUGAAGAUGUCAUAAAUUGUAGCUUAUCUCCUGACUUGUUAAGGAUGGUAGAGCAAGAAGGAAAUUUUACCUCACGAGGAAACAAUAGAGACUGUGACCUUGAGGUAACAUGCAUAACCGAAAAAGCAAAGCAGGACUUUGUUGAGUUACUUCAAGCAUUCAAAGAUGCUUUCGCAUGGUCAUACCAGGAUAUGCCCAGGUUAAGCACUGUUAUUGCAAUCUGAACAACAGCACGAUAUCAGAAAUUUACAGUAUGUUCAAGGUUAAUAUCAUGAAUGAUACAGUGAAAACUCUACCGGAGCAGUGCCUAUCUCUUUACUUCAUCACGGUUUUUUCUAUUGAAGUUCUUUCUCUCUGGGUAUUGGCUGAGCAAGUUGGAUGAAGCAGAACAGAUCCAAUCGCAAUGUGAUCAAUUGAACUUGAUAGAAGGAAGAAGACUAAAAUCAAUUCAUCACGGUCAGAUGUACCAGAAAUGAAUGAUGCGAGCCUAAAACAAAAGGUUCAUCCUAGAGAAUUCCACGAGGAUGACCAAAUGUUGAAGAUCCUCCCUCUACAAAAAAAUAUCUUGGAGGGAAGCGGAUGCAAAAUUGGAAUGAACCUUAUGAUUAUAGAGAAGGUUUUUUCCAAAGGACCUUUGAUUUUGAGCGAGAUGGAUGAUAAACUUGCGAAGUCCUGUAAACUCAGAUUCAGUCAGGAAAUACUCCGCUUAAAGAAGGAGAGGACCAAUAUAAAAACCCGCAAAGGGCAGUUUGAGUCCCCCAAAAAAAAAGAAAAAAGAAAAAAAAGUGAUGUGAAAAAGUGAAAAUGAAAACUGAAAAAUAGAAAAGUAAAAUGGAGAGGCUAAGGUGAAAACCCGCAAAGGGCGCCUUAACCAAAGGGGAUUUGAGUUGAAAACCCGAAAAGGGUGGCUCAAAUAUUGAUUAGAAUGGGGCAUGAGAUUAUCGGAGUAGCUCAAAUACUGAUCAGAAUGGGGCAUGCAAUGGUCUUGCUAUACCUAAAUCAACAGGAAAGGGUAGGCGACAUCUUGGGGCAUCGACAAAGUACUCCUAAACACAUGUUAAACUUAGAAUGGUCUUCAGAAAGUUUGUACAGAGAAAUUCAAGCUGCGAUGUCUGGGGCACCUAAUCCUUAUACCAUUUUUGCUAUUCUUGGAACACUUCAUUCAUUGCCAAGAUACGCAUUCCUAAAUCAAUUUCUUUGUUAUCCAUCUUUAUUAUCCUUGAUAAUUUAUUCAUUUUGAGCUAUGCUCAGAGCCAACUCUAUUCUUAUCCAUGAUCUUUUUGCAAGUAUGUGGCAUUAGAAUAAUAAUUAAUGGACUAAUAAAACUUUCACAAGGGAAGUUUUUCAUAUUACUCUAAAAGCUUCUAAAUAAUAUAGGAACCUCAAACAGAACUAUUGUUUAGAACGCACCAGGUUCAAAGUUUGGAAAUCUAAUAAGGAAGAGUCUAAGUUAAGACAAUCCCUUUGAAUUUUGUUGUCUAAAACAUUGAUUGAAAAACGGCAAGAUGUCGUGUUGGUGGCAAAGCUUAAAUGAACAAGCAAGCAAUGAUCACCGAAUAAGAAGUUGUUCUUGGAGAAGAAUUCUUCAUUUGUGCAUGAGAAUUUGGUAUGACACCCUGGGAAUGGUGUAAGAGACCAAAAAGUUUCACAUCCUGUAUCCUUGAAUUGUGAUAGCAGAGGAUUGAGAAAAAGCUGAAUCUUUUUACUCUUGGGUUACAACAGGAGAAAGAUGGUACAUAUUUUGCAUCCCAGUGGAUCAAACUUGGAGGUUUACAGUGGGGGGUUAUCUGGUUAAGUGUUUUUCGGAGAUGCUAGCUGAGCAAGAAUGUGUUAUAGCUCAUUAGUGAGGAAACCUUAAUAAACUUGGAGUAAUAAUAACUCAAACGUUAAAAUAUCAUUUUCAUGACAUUCUGCAUUCAUGCAAACACCAUUCACAUCUGUCUAGUUAAGAGCAUUUGAUUCAUUUUGAUCAUGUCAUCCUAAUCAUUAGGCAUAAUUAGGUUUAUUAUACAGGUCAUUUUCUCCAGAGAACAGAUCAGUGAUGAUAACAGAUAUUGCCUUCCUGCAUCGACAGUGAAGCAGAUCGAAGACACCAACCUCGCCUCCCUCGGAGACAGUGGAGCAGGUUAAAGAUAGCAGAUCUUGCCUUCCUGCAUAGAUAGCGAAGCAGAACAAAGAUGGUAGAUUUUACCUCCCUGUGGUUACAGUGGAGUAAUUGUAACCAAUAAUUCUUCCCUGGGCAACAGUGGAGUAGAUUGAAGAUUUCAGAUUUUAUCUCCCUAAGCAGUAGUGGAGCGGAUCAAAGAUGGCGGAUUUUACCUCCCUGAGGUUACAGUGGAGUACAUUGAAGCCAGUAAUUCUAGUUCCCUGGCAGCAGCGGAAUAGAUUGAAGAUUUCAGAUCUUGUCUCCCUAAGCAGUAGUGGAGCAGAUCAAAGAUGGUGGAUUUUACCUCCCUAUGGUUACAGUGGAGUACAUUGAAGCCAGUAAUUUUACUUCCCUGGGCAGCAGCGGAAUAGAUUGAAGAUUUCAGAUCUUGUCUCCCCAAGCAGUAGUGGAGCAGAUCAAAGAUUGUGAAUUUUACCUCCCUGUGUUACAGUGGAGUACAUUGAAGCCAGUAAUUCUACUUCCCUGGGCAGCAGUGGAAUAGAUUGAAGAUUUCAGAUCUUGUCUCCCCAAGCAGUAGUGGAGCAGAUCAAAGAUGGUGAAUUUUACCUCUCUGUGGUUACAGUGGAGUACAUUGAAGCCAGUAAUUCUACUUCCCUGGGCAGCAGUGGAAUAGAUUGAAGAUUUUAGAUCUUGUCUCCCCAAGCAGUAGUGGAGCAGAUCACAGGUGGUGAAUUUUACCUCCCUGAGGUUACAGUGGAGUACAUUGAAGCCAGAAAUUCUACUUCCCUGGGCAGCAGUGGAAUAGAUUGAAGAUUACAGGUCUUAUCUCCCUAAGCAGUAGUGAAGCAGAUCAAAGAUGGCAGAUUUUACCUCCCUGAGGUUACAGUGGAGUACAUUGAAGCCAGUAAUACUAUCUCCCUGGGCGACAGUGGAAUAGAUUGGAGAUUACAGAUCUUGUCUCCCUAAGCAGUAGUGGAACAGAUCAAAGAUGGCAGAUUUUACCUCCCUGAGGUUGCAGUGGAGUAUAUUGAAGCCAGUAAUUCUAUUCCCUCGGUCGGCAGUGGAAUCGAUCGAAGAAAGCAGAUCUUGUCUUCAUGUAUUGACGUGAAGUAGAUCGAAAAAAGUUGAUCUUGUCUUUCCAUACUGGUGGUGAAGUAGAUCGAAGAUACGAGUCUUAUCUCCCUGAAGUUGCAGUGGACCAGACAAAAGUAACCAAUCCCAUCUCCUUGAAGUUGCAAUGGAGUGGAUUAAAACCGCAGAUCUCAUCUCUCUGAAGUUGCAGUAGAGUAGAUCAUAUCAGAUUUACCCUUAAGUUGUAGCAGAACAAGUUGAAGCUAUAAGUCUUAUCUCUCUGAAGUUGCAGUGGAACAGAUUAAAGAUAGUAAAUUUUGUUCCUUUGAGGAGCUACAACGUAUGAAUUCAAUCUCCCCGACAUUGCAGUGGAGUGGAUUGAAGCACUGGUUCCUAUACCUCUGAAGAUGCAGUAGGAAGGAACGAGGCUACUUGAAGUAGAAGAACACCAAGGUCCAGCACGACCGGGCAAAAUUGACCAUUUUAAAGUCUUUGCUCCGUUCCCAUUACACGACAACGAGCAAAGAGGGGCAGCUGUAAUACCCAAUUUUGCCCAGCCCAUAUACAAAUAAUAAAACCAAAAUAAAUAAAACAGGCCCAAAUUACCAAGCCCAAUAACCUAAAAAACUAACCCUAGCCCAACACAAAAUUAAAUCAAGAAAAACCUAAGCAGAAAAACUAGCAGCAGCCACCCUCAACAGCAGUCACCCUCGUCGCCGGCCCUUGCGCGCCUUCCUCGCACGUGCUCCCACGAUCACCUGCAAAACGGAUUCAAAGAGUCCAAACAAUGUAAAACAACGGGAAAAAGGGAAAUAAGUUGUUCUCGGGCUAUAAAACGGCCAAUAUUGUUUGUAAAAUGGGGGGGAGACCAAGGUUGUAUUGAGAGAAGAUUGGAAAUACAAAGGAAAGGAAAAACAGAUUCAAAAUUUUUGAAUAACAAAGGUUUUUGUUAUUUUUUAGUUUGUUUUGUGGAUGUUUGAUUUAUUUAUUUAUACAUUUAGUUUUCAUUUUUAUUCUUUUAUUUUUAACAAUAAUAUAAAAGAGGAGAGGGGUAAUACCUUCGAGGAUUCACCGUCAAAACUGCGUUCGCAUCGCUCAAAUCGGAGCUUGACGGAGCCCCGCGAAUUGACUCGUCGGAGAACGGCGGCGUUGAGAGCUGGGGCUGAAAAAACCUAGCAGAGGGUUUUUAUUUUUAU